AUGAGCAGAUUUUCUUCUCCUCGGAACGCUGCCAGAGCUGUUCUGGCCCCGAACACAAUCCUUGAGGUCUCUGCUCCCCGUGCCGCUCAGUUUCCUCUCGUCCUUCCUUCGCUGCUGAAAUACAGUCGCUGUGCGUUCAGCAGCAUCAUCCACCGGGAAAGCGCUUGCGGAAAACGAUUGCUGGCUCCUGAACUCCCCCUCUACCCCUCCUCCCGCCGGAGUGCCUCCCCCACCAUCCCCCCAUCCUUCCCACUCCCCCCGAGCUCUCACGGCCGCGGGGCCGGACGGGGCUCAGCUCCUCCCGCGGGGAUGCGGGGGGCGGGGCGCGGCGGCGGCGGCGGCGGCGGUCGGGGCGUCCGGAGCGGCUGCGGCACCGCACGGAGCGGAUGGAGCUGCGGCUGCCUGCCUUUCACCUGCAACUGUCUUACCCUGCAGGAGAGCAGCAAAUGGCCACAGCACAUCCAUCCCAGCAUCUAAACCUGUGGUGAUCUCCCUGCUUGGAGGAGGGGAAGAUCCCUGGAUCCCAGAUGUUCACAGCCUGAAGGACAUGGCAGGAGACGUCUGCCCAGGUGAGGU
rnacentral:lncRNA from 1 species